rnacentral:misc_RNA from 1 species
GAGAGAGAGAGAGAGAGACAGAGGGAGAGGGAGGGAGAGCCACCUACAAAGACUCCGAGAGUGAGCAUUUGGAGAGUUCUUCAUAGAAGUCUGCUUCUUGAUGUGCCUUCCUGUGAUUGAGGGAAAGAGAAACCAAUGGCGGGUUCGACGUCUGUGCAGCCACAGUUCAUUGUCAGCACUGGGAAUCGGAGCUUUUCCAAUGCACCCCUCAUUGACAAUUCAGAUACUGAUCAAAUUGUUGUUCCUAACAAGAAAAGCUGGAAGAACCUGUUUGCAUAUAUGGGUCCAGGGUUCCUUGUUUCUAUUGCAUAUAUUGACCCUGGAAAUUUUGAAACUGACCUGCAGUCAGGAGCAGAAUACAAGUAUGAGUUACUUUGGAUCAUAUUAGUGGCCUCAUGUGCUGCUCUUAUUAUACAAUCUCUAGCAGCCAAUUUGGGGGUUGUCACUGGAAAGCAUUUAGCAGAACAUUGUAAGAAUGAAUAUCCUCGGGUGCCAAACUUCAUCCUUUGGAUUCUUGCUGAAAUUGCUAUUGUUGCAUGUGAUAUUCCUGAAGGUAAGUUUUGUUAAUUUGCUUAAUUUUUUUUAUUCAUAUACAUGUAUAAUCAAUAUAUUGCUACGAGCUUAAAAAUUGCAUUUUGAUAUUUCAAAAAUAAUAUUUCCACAUGCAUGUACUUUUGAGCAUCUUUAUAUGUAUAAUCAAAAUUUUAAGAUAUGGCCAAAAUAGCGAUGCAUUCUCUUAUAUAACAUGUUUCUUGUCCACUAAUUUUUGUCCUAGGAUGUUUGUUCUUCACCGUACUCUGAAUGACGUUCCUUUCUUUUUCAGUAAUUGGUACAGCCUUUGCAUUGAACAUGCUUUUCAAAAUUUCUGUGUGGAUUGGUGUUCUUCUAACUGGGCUUAGCACGUUGGUUCUUCUAGCACUACAGCAAUAUGGGGUCCGGAAGCUUGAAUUCCUUAUUGCUUUUCUUGUUUCGACAAUCGCUGCAUGCUUUUUGGUGGAGCUUGCCUUUGCAAAACCCUCUGCUUCUGAAGUUCUCUAUGGGCUUUUUGUUCCACAACUCAAGGGACAUGGUGCUACUGGCCUUGCAAUUUCACUGCUUGGUGCCAUGGUUAUGCCGUAAGUUUUUUAUUCAAUUAUGUCUUCCAACUAUUAAUAGUUCCUUCCUGUUGAAAAAAAAAAACAUUUUUGUCUUCGUUGGCUUCAUUGCCCUCAUGCAGUCACAAUCUCUUCCUUCAUUCGGCAUUGGUGCUUUCUAGGAAAAUCCCACGAUCCAUUCCUGGUAUCAAGGAGGCUCGUAGAUUUUACUUGAUAGAAAGUGCCUUCGCUCUCACACUGGCCUUUUUCAUUAAUGUAUCUGUUAUUUCUGUAAGUGGUGCUGUUUGCAAUUCCCCAAAUUUAAAUCCAGAAGAUCAGUCAAAAUGCAAGGACUUGGACUUGAACGAGGCUUCUUUUUUGCUUAAAAAUGUUUUGGGUAGAUGGAGUUCAAAACUUUUUGCAAUUGCUUUGUUGGCAUCUGGUCAGAGUUCUACAAUAACAGGAACUUAUGCAGGGCAGUAUGUCAUGCAGGGUUUCUUGGAUCUACGAUUGACACCAUGGAUACGGAACUUUCUAACUCGAUGCUUGGCAAUAGUCCCUAGUUUAAUUGUUGCACUCAUUGGUGGCUCUGCUGGUGCUGGAAAGCUAAUUAUUAUUGCAUCUAUGAUUCUAUCAUUUGAGCUACCUUUUGCUCUCAUUCCACUUCUCAAGUUCACUAGCUGCAAAACCAAGAUGGGGAUACACGCCAACUCAACUAUGGUAUAAUGUUAUUUUGAUAUAUGCUUCUUCACUUAUUCAUUUAUACAAUUUAUUUAACCAUUAAAUUUGGAGACUUUGAUUUGUCUUGAAAAUUUCUCGCCUGACUACUUGGAAGGGUCCUUGUAUCCUGCAAAAAAUCCUGUUAAGAAUAGUAAUGAAGUAUUUGACAUUUCCAUGGAGACAGACAGCUGUAAAAUGCCUGGCUUGAAAUAUGUUGUGUUUGUUUGGAAACUUUUUAUAGAAGUUCUUGCUGUUUCUUUUUCUUUCUUGUCUUCACCUUCUUUCCCUUGAUGUUAUUUCCUGAUUUUUCUUUUCCUUUGAAAUGUUGGACUUGUCAGUCCAGUAUUUUUCAACAGUAACAAAUGCAUAUAAAGAUUUCUUGACAGUGCUUCAAUGACCAAAAUUGGAUAGAUUGCUGUUAAAAUGUUUUUUUCAAGCAUUCUGGAGAUUGUUACUGCAACAUAUAUCAUUAUCUUUCAACUGUUAUUUCUGCUCCUUAACUUUUCAUUAUCACUGGUUUAUCAUUUUUCUUCUUUUACAGAUUUCAGCUCUCACUUGGAUUAUUGGUUCCCUGGUCAUAUCAAUAAAUAUAUACUACCUUGCAACUGGCUUCAUCAAGAUUCUUCUUAAUGGCCAUUUAGAAGUGGUAGCUGUUGUUUUUCUUGGAAUAUUCGGAUUUUCAGCUAUGGCUGUGUAUUUGGCUGCAAUUGCUUACUUGGUGUUCCGUAAAAACAAGGAAGCUACUCAUCUUCUGGCACUAACAACACCUGAAAGUCGACAGAUGGCCAACGAGUCUUGUGAUACAUCAAUGCAUUGUCUCCCUAGAGAAGACAUAGUAAGCAUGCAGUUACCUCAAAGAAGGUCUACAGAAGAAGUCAAUUGAUAAGUGGCAGGGUAAGAGUGAUUUCCACUGAUAAAUGGUAGGGUUAGUGAGAGUUCAAUAAGUGAGCUUGGGAGCCUUUAUGUAAUUGGGCCUGAGAGCCUUGAUUUGUUUUUGGGCUUCAAGCCCUGUAUUAAUAAAAUCCUACCAUCUUGCGAAAAAAAACUCUUGUAUAGGUAACUUACGGAGUUUUUGGCUCUAUAGGAGAGUAUCAGCCGAAACUUCUUGGAGCAGAAAAAGUGCUGCUCUCUAAGGUGGAUUUUCCAUGCUAGCAAAGGAAGAAGAAUCUCUUCUUUUGGGUGGUCCAAAACAAGGUGCAAUCUUUGUCCAACUUGGUGUAUUCCUUUGGGAUUUUCUUUCUUAACAUCAUGUGAAGAUUCACUACAAUCCUGGACCGUCAAUUAAUAUAUAUAAUUCCUAUAACACGUGAUUAUGUAUGGAAUUAGAAUACAAGGUUGAUCUUGAAUUAAAUAUGUAUGUAAUACAUGGUUAUAGCCAUUAUUAAUUUCAGACUUUUCUUGACUAAACUCGAUUCACCACAAGUCCAAGACAAAAAAUAUAUGGUAGAGCUCAUCUAUUAAUACAUGGAUGCUACAUGAUUGUAUUUUAAAUUUAUGAUAAAUUAAGUUUAGGCAAAAAUUUUCAAUUAAUUCCUACACAAAAGUGUUAACACGGAUCUUAAACUACACCAAUUAUUAAGAGUCUUGGCUGCAGCAGAAUUGCUCAUCUUAACAACAUCUGUAAGAUAAGUUACCAAAUUCGAUGCCACCCCUUUGAAGGCAAACCUCUCUAUUCCAGCUAUCACUAUGAGCAGAAAGCAAGACUUGUUGAGUCCUUUUGUUCUCUGACCUCCAGCCAUGAGAAAGACACCAAAUGAGUAAACUAUGGGGAAAAUAUAGAACAACCCAUAUAUCAAAAGCCUGAAGACAAGCCAAAAACCAGCAAUAAUUAUCACAUUCUGUUGCUACCUACUCAGAAUUUCAUGUAACAGUGUCACAACUUCAAUUAUAUUUGGAUGCUUCUUUUUUUUUUAAGUUUAAG